rnacentral:lncRNA from 1 species
CACAUGAAAAGUCUUACGGAUAGACAAACUUCCAUUCAAGCCAAUGUCAAGUUUUCAUUGCAAGAAAGUAGCAGCCGUGUUUAAGGGCUUGUUUCUGGCUAUGUUAAAGGACCAUCCUCUGAGGAAAGCAGAGGAGAGGAACUCCAUUAUCCUUACAGUGAAACGCAACCACUGCAGAAAAACUCCACUGAGUUCGCUCCAAAUGCUCAUCUUCUUCUUCGGCCCUGGAUGUCAGACAAACAGGACAAACAGGAAACAAAAUUAUUUUUCUUCGUGGAGGGCAGAGCAGCACUCCCCCGUCGCCCAGUAUUUGGAUCCCCAGCGGGAAUGGGGAGCACCAGGCCAGUGGGAGGCUGCCCCGGCCCUCCCGCGACCUCUGGAUUGAACUUUCCGCACACUUCUCGGCCCCUCGGCAGGUGGCCCAGCCUCGACCCGACCCCACUGCCCACUCACUGCUUCUCCUGCGCGUCCAGGUCCCUGACGAGCGCAUCGCGCUUGUUCACCAGGGCCACCAGCUCAUCUAGCAGAAGCUGUUCGCGUCGCUUCUGGGCCUCGGUCUUCUGCCAGUCUGCAGAAGACGGGAGGCUAGUUACCCACCGGCAGGGCCUCCGAACACCCGGCCCCCCGCCCUCCCCUUCCCGCCUUUUCCAGUUUCCUUAUAUUUCUCAGCAAACCACAUUAUAGAGCCACUAGCUAGUGUUUUCUGGGGAGUUUGGCUGUUGUGGUGAAGGCUUCCUCGCUAAAAGUCUACUUCCUAAACAGGUCCUGUGAAUGGAGAUGGCUGCAGCAGUGUUGGAACCUGCUUAGAACCAGGUGUGAACUGGUGGCUAGCCUGAGGUGCGCACCUGAAUCCAGCCAAAGUGGGGGAGGGGAGCUAGAGGCCCAGAAGAGGUUGGCCCAGGGGUUGGUAGUGGGGGAAGUGGGUAAAUGAGGAGGCGGGAAACAGUGAUGGGCGAUAAAAUCAUUCUGAAAAGGCUAGAGAAUCUGCCUGAGAACCUAUCCUCCUCCCCCACCCCCACUCUCACCCCAAACAGCCCAUUCUUCGCUAAUUUCCUCUUCGCUCUAUUUUAGCAGUUGGAUGUAUCUCACACUGGGCGCCAUAUGCUUCACAAUAACUUUAAAAGUAGUGAAUCGGCUAAUUAGCAUUUUUCUUUGAAGUAAAAAAUAAAUUUGCUCUGCAAUAUUACACUGCAGCUCUCGAUCGCAUCACAGCCAGUUUUCUUUUGGAGACGUUUGCUGGGUGGUUUCAAAUCAAAGCACUUUUGCAAAGGAAAAAUUACAUAUUUCUUUCUGAAACCCUAUGUUAAAGGUUGGAAAACCCGAUGGGCAGUGCUCUUUCCAUGGAUGGGGGGCGUUUUUUUUUUUUUUUUUUGAAGGUUUUAGACCCCAAUAAUAUAUUUCCUAAUCUUUGCUGGUCUGAUGAUUUCCUUAAGAUGAGCAGCAGUUUCAUUUAAUAGAAACAGGACCAAAUCGAACAUUUAAAACACUUUUGAAACCAAAGCCAACUGCUCUCUGGCCAGACUGUAAGGGCUUGUAGCUGUCAAUCAACCCCCAGUCUACCCCGCCUCCCUCAUUAGGAAGGUAAACAAUGAAAAGAAGAAGUAGAUGAUGAGGCAGAUAGCAGAACAAAUGAGGACCUAGAGGGAAACAGGACACCAGCUUAAAAAAAAAAAAAAAAAAAAAAAAAAAAAAAAAAAAAAAAAAAAAAAAAAAGAACCAUGGCCACUGACUCCUGCAGCCCCCUCCCCCAGCAAAUGCACUUUCCAAAAAACAGAGAGAAGUGCAAUCCUUUUGGGUUUCUCUCUUCUCUCUCCAUUGCCCUGGGCAAUCAUGUUAAAACUCACAUGGCUGGUGCUUAUUCAGAUAAACCUAACAAUGCACACCGCUGGUUACCAUGUGAAUCUUCACAAACCACACAAGAAUGUGCUGGUUCAAAUCCCCCCCGACCCCCUCCAAAGCAAAAUUUAUUCAAGACAGCAAACUGCUCAGCAGCUUUAUGAAAGCAAAUGGUGCUAGAGGGAAUUCUAUCUUGUAUUUACAAAUUAAAAAUUAGAUGCAUCAUCAUGCAAUAAAGGUUAGAAAAGCAGCAAAAAGCUAGACUGUUUUAUUCAAUUUAUCACUAUUUCUUUCAUUAUAAGCUCUAACACAUACAUACAUAUUUAUAUGAAACAUGCUAUAUGUUAAUUAUCCACAUUCGAUAUAAAACCACACAAAU